rfam:Gasterosteus aculeatus cont1.013882, whole genome shotgun sequence.
AACACGCUCCUUAGAUCCACCUCUGGAGGAUGCUGUUCUCUGAGCAGUGCUCCUCAGCAGCUUGCUGGCUGUACAGUUGGAGGUGCUUGAGUCAUUGGCGUGUGAGAACAGUCUACCUGUCCUUCAGCCCACCCGCAGCACUGGCAACCCUGUCCUCUACAGGCAGGGAGCUCCUGGUGCUGCAAGCCUGGGGGACAGACAUG